AACGAACGCUGGCGGCGUGCCUAACACAUGCAAGUCAAACGAUAUCUUCGGGUCUAGUGGCGCACGGGUGCGUAACGCGUGGGAAUCUGCCCUUUGGUUCGGAAUAACAGUUGGAAACGACUGCUAAUACCGGAUGAUGACGAAAGUCCAAAGAAUUAUCGCCAGAGGAUGACCCCGCGUAGGAUUAGCUAGUUGGUGUGGUAAAGGCGCACCAAGGCGACGAUCCUUAGCUGGUCUGAGAGGAUGAUCACCCACACUGGGACUGAGACACGGCCCACACUCCUACGGGAGGCAGCAGUGGGGAAUAUUGGACAAUGGGCGAAAGCCUGAUCCAGCAAUGCCGCGUGAGUGAUGAAGGCCUUAGGGUUGUAAAGCUCUUUUACCCGGGAUGAUAAUGACAGUACCGGGAGAAUAAGCUCCGGCUAACUCCGUGCCAGCAGCCGCGGUAAUACGGAGGGAGCUAGCGUUAUUCGGAAUUACUGGGCGUAAAGCGCACGUAGGCGUCUUUGUAAGAUAGAGGUGAAAGCCUGGAGCUCAACUCCAGAUCUGCCUUUAAGACUGC
rnacentral:rRNA from 1 species